rnacentral:rRNA from 1 species
GACGAACGCUGGCGGCGUGCUUAACACAUGCAAGUCGAACGGAAAGGCCCUGCUUUUGUGGGGUGCUCGAGUUGCCAACGGGGGAGUAACACGUGAGUAACCUGCCCUUGACUUUGGGAUAACUUCAGGAAACUGGGGCUAAUACCGGAUAGGAGCUCCUGCUGCAUGGUGGGGGUUGGAAGGUUUCGGCGGUUGGGGAUGGACUCGCGGCUUAUCAGCUUGUUGGUGGGGUAGUGUCUUACCAAGGCUUUGACGGGUAGCCGGGCUGAGCGGGUGAGCGGCCACACUGGGACUGAGAUGAGGCACAGACUACUACGGGAGGCAGGAGUGGGGAAUAGUGCACAAUGGGCUGAAGGAUGGUGCAGCAAAGCCGCGUGAGGGGUGACGGGAUUGGGGUAGUAUUGCGCUUUCGCUUGUCACGAAGCGUGAGUGACGGUAAUGGGUAAAGAAGCACCGGCUAACUACGUG